AUAUCACAAAUUGUGCCUUUUAGCAAUUAAUAGCUUGAGUAUGUUUGACUUCGAGUAAAAGGGUUUAGGGUGAAGUUUCCCCUAGCAGUUUAUUUUAGGUCAGUUGGGGGAGGGGAAGCUGAUCCUUGAUCUGUGCUAAGGGGAAACGUCUCCCUGAGGUAAGACACUGUGAUAGAGACCAGGGAGUUGGUGCGUCCAAAGCCUAGCACCAAGGACUCUGUCAGCUCAAUGCUCUCUGCUCUCAUUAGAGGGACCAGCUGCUUCAGGAGCCAUGCUACCGAGGGGGUCCAAAUCACCUGUUUGGAGUGGAUCACAGACGAACACUACCACCACGUUGGGUCUGGACUGCGAGGGACCGCCGCUGACGACCCAAUCUGCACCCAUCGCAUCUAAUUCCAUAACAAACAGGGCAGUGUAGAGAUUGGAUGUUGGAGCAGCCUUAAGGGCAGUAAGUAGCAGUAGGCAGCAGGAUGAGGUGCAAAAUAGUGUCCAGUUUAUUAACUGUGAAAGGUGGUUCCUGGUGAACAAUGAAAUCCAAUGAAUAUUUACAUAAUCUACAAAGGUAUUUACAAAAUGAACAGACUCUCAAAUUAUAGGUUUGAAUCUAAAUCGAAAACCUAAGCUUCAAAUCAGGCCUACAUUUCCAAACCAACUAUAGCAGGUUGGGGUAUUCCAGGCUAUGGACAGCCUCCCCACACAGCUCACAUACCAGAGCUAGAAUAUAACUCCAGUUCACAGGUUGAACAGGAAACUUUAUACCUUUGGCUCCUCCAUAUGGACCAUACCAUUAACCAUGGAGCUCUUUACCCAAAUAUGGCAUAUUAAAUCAUGAAACAGACAUCUUCAUUAUACCUACAUUCACAUAUUCCGUCUAAAUAAACGUCUUGAACAUUACUGGCUUCUACAGGCCAACAAGUAGCAAAAUGUAUUACUUAUGGAACCGCAAGCGCUCCCAUUUCACACAGACAUGACAGAGAAGACAUGGAGUUCUGAGACAUGCAAACUUCAAACACAGGACACAUUACAAUAUGGAAAUGAACAAAAUUAUUUAUCGUCAGUGUAGCAAAUGUUCGUGUGCACCUGAACAUUGCAUCCACGUGGAGCAUUUAAAUAUGAAACUGAAAUGGGUCACAAUGCAACUUGACCAAACAUUUCCUCUACAAAUAAUUACCCAAGAUAACAACAGUAUAUACAGUUGAAGUCGAGGAUUUACAUACACCUUAGCUAAAUACAUUUAAUCUCAAUUUUUCACAAUUCCUGACAUUUAAUCCUAGUAAAAAUUCCGUCUUAGGUCAGUUAUGAUCACCACUUUAUUUUAA